UACGUAGGAGGCAAGCGUUGUCCGGAAUUACUGGGCGUAAAGCGCGUGUAGGUGGUGGGACAAGUCUGCUGUGAAAGCGCCUGGCUUAACCGGGCGAGGUCGGCGGAAACUGUUCCGACUCGAGGACGGUAGAGGGGGGUGGAAUUCCCGGUGUAGUGGUGAAAUGCGUAGAGAUCGGGAGGAACACCUGUGGCGAAGGCGGCCCCCUGGGCCGGCCCUGACACUGAGACGCGAAGGCGUGGGGAGCGAACGGG
rnacentral:rRNA from 1 species